UACGAAGGGGGCUAGCGUUGCUCGGAAUGACUGGGCGUAAAGGGCGCGUAGGCGGACGGCUUUGUCGGGCGUGAAAUUCCAGGGCUUAACCUUGGGGCUGCGUUCGAGACGGGUUGUCUAGAGUUUGGAAGAGGGUCGUGGAAUUCCCAGUGUAGAGGUGAAAUUCGUAGAUAUUGGGAAGAACACCGGUGGCGAAGGCGGCGACCUGGUCCUUGACUGACGCUGAGGCGCGACAGCGUGGGGAUCAAACAGG
rnacentral:rRNA from 1 species